UCCAUCGAGCCGGAGUCGAACCAGCGACCUAUGGAUAUCUACUUUCUUCCACCUACAGUCCACCGCUCUGCCAGCGGAGCUAUCUACUC